AAGUCCAAACUCUUCGGGUUACUGGGUUGCAAGGUUGAGUUCCUCAAGGACAAGCCAGCUGCUACUUUUGGUGCCCUUCUAUAUAUUGCAAGUUCAAGUACUCAUCGAAUCACCUUUAUCAGUAUAAUCUUUGUUAAGUCUUGAUAACGAUAAAUAAAAUAACGAGUAAGGAUUACUUCACAAGCACAAUUGACUACCACAUCUCCUAUUUAUGGCAAUGGAGAAUCUAACUUGAAUAAUAUCGUAUUAAUUUUUUUCCUCAAAAUAAGUUGUGUACCAAAAAAUUAAUUGAAUAUAUAAAUAUAUUAAAGUUAAUUCUUUCAGUACACAAAUCAUUUAUUUUCAUAACAAUUUAAAAGUCGUGUAGCUUUAUCUUUGUGUAAGUACUAUUAACAUGAUGCACAGUGACGGAGUUAGGAAUGAUGUCUAGUGCUGAUGGAAUGUAAUCAAAGCUGGACUUUGAGUUUUCGACCAUAAGUUUAAUCCGGA
rnacentral:lncRNA from 1 species